AUUGAACGCUGGCGGCAUGCCUUACACAUGCAAGUCGAACGGCAGCGCGGGAGCAAUCCUGGCGGCGAGUGGCGAACGGGUGAGUAAUAUAUCGGAACGUGCCCAGUAGUGGGGGAUAGCCCGGCGAAAGCCGGAUUAAUACCGCAUACGACCUACGGGAGAAAGGGGGGGAUCGCAAGACCUCUCGCUAUUGGAGCGGCCGAUAUCAGAUUAGGUAGGUGGUGGGGUAAAGGCCUACCAAGCCUGCGAUCUGUAGUUGGUCUGAGAGGACGACCAGCCACACUGGGACUGAGACACGGCCCAGACUCCUACGGGAGGCAGCAGUGGGGAAUUUUGGACAAUGGGCGCAAGCCUGAUCCAGCAAUGCCGCGUGCAGGAAGAAGGCCUUCGGGUUGUAAACUGCUUUUGUCAGGGAAGAAAUCCUCUAGGCUAAUACCUUGGGGGGAUGACGGUACCUGAAGAAUAAGCACCGGCUAACUACGUGCCAGCCGCCGCAGUAACAC
rnacentral:rRNA from 1 species